GACGGGGGGGGCAAGUGUUCUUCGGAAUGACUGGGUGUAAAGGGCACGUAGGCGGUGAAUCGGGUUGAAAGUGAAAGUCGCCAAAAAAGUGGCGGAAUGCUCUCGAAACCAAUUCACUUGAGUGAGACAGAGGAGAGUGGAAUUUCGUGUGUAGGGGUGAAAUCCGUAGAUCUACGAAGGAACGCCAAAAGCGAAGGCAGCUCUCUGGGUCCCUACCGACGCUGGGGUGCGAAAGCAUGGGGAGCGAACAGG
rnacentral:rRNA from 1 species